AGUGAACGCUGGCGGUAGGCCUAACACAUGCAAGUCGAACGGCAGCACAGUAAGAGCUUGCUCUUACGGGUGGCGAGUGGCGGACGGGUGAGGAAUACAUCGGAAUCUACUUUUUCUUGGGGGAUAUCGUAGGGAAACUUACGCUAAUACCGCAUACGACCUACGGGUUAAAGCAGGGGAUCUUCGGACCUUGCGCGAUUGAAUUAGCCGAUGUCGGAUUAGCUAGUUGGCGGGGUAAAGGCCCACCAAGGCGACGAUCCGUAGCUGGUCUGAGAGGAUGAUCAGCCACACUGGAACUGAGACACGGUCCAGACUCCUACGGGAGGCAGCAGUGGGGAAUAUUGGACAAUGGGCGCAAGCCUGAUCCAGCCAUACCGCGUGGGUGAAGAAGGCCUUCGGGUUGUAAAGCCCUUUUGUUGGGAAAGAAAAGCAGCAGGUUAAUACCCCGCUGUUCUGACGGUACCCAAAGAAUAAGCACCGGCUAACUUCGUG
rnacentral:rRNA from 1 species